AUGGCAACGCCGCUGCCGCCGCCGCUGCCAGCGUUCGUGUACCGGAUCAGCACGGGGGAUGAGUGGGCGGAGCUCCAGCGCACCGGCGGCACCCUCGGCGGCGACCUCGACCGCUCCACCGGCUGCUUCCACCUCAGCGACCUCGCCCAGGUGAAGAUGACGCUAAAGAAUUAUUUCCGUGGGCAAAAUGAUCUAUACCUGCUACAAAUUGACACUGCCAAGAUUGCAGAUGGCUUAAUUUAUGAGGCAGCUGAUGGCUGUAACUACUUUCCUCAUUUCUAUGGCCCUGAUCGGAGCUUUGCACCCCUUCAACUAAGUGCUGUUGUCAAGGCAGACAAAAUAGAGCUGGCGAACAAUGAUUUUACUUGCAGUCUACUUGAUGGAGCGGCCAUCUAA
rnacentral:rRNA from 1 species